rnacentral:misc_RNA from 1 species
AAACUAGCUGAACAGGAGGAAGAUCUUGAUAGUGUAAAGGAGGAGAGUAGAAAACGCAGGCAAGCUAUUCUUGAAAAAUAUAGGAAUCAGCAAUCACAGCAGAAAAAUGAGGCUCAAUCAGAGGAUGCUGAAAAAGAUGUUGAACCUGCACAACUUCGUGUCCAAUCUUUGCCAGCUUCUAAUUUUGUUCCAGAAACUCUUGAUACUAGGAUUGAUGGUGAUAUCUAUGUUGCCGAGCCAUCAUUUUCUGUGGGCGAGUCGCCUCCACAAAAUGGAACACGGGCAUCUGAGAGGACUUCUGGUGCUGUGGGUCUUGGAGAGGGUACUCCUAAGAGCGAGAGGUCAGAUGAAAAAUAUUGUGAUGACAUAUUUGGCGAGACACCAACUGGAGUUCAUAAAUCGGGCAAAGGAGAUGGUUUACCAAUUAUGCGGAAUGGUCUUCAUGACAACUGGGAUGACUCUGAUGGGUAUUAUGGCUACCGAUUUGGUGAAAUACUUGAUGGUCGGUAUGAAAUUGUGGCUGCUCAUGGAAAAGGUGUCUUUUCCACAGUAAUUCGUGCGAAGGAUUUAAAGGCUGGUGUUGGUGAACCUGAAGAAGUGGCUAUAAAAAUCAUUCGUA